GCAGGAGAAAAAAGUCCAUUUUUUCUUGUCCCCUAAGGUGAAAAUACACAUUGUUGAGUGUCACGCCUGUACGCUUUGUCAAAAUGACACAAAAAUUGACACACACAUGUAUCUUAAUAAGAUCUACGAAAAAGUCAAUGCGUGCGUAUCUGUCAAAUGUACGGUUAAAGGGUUAUUCCGCAUUUUUUGCCGAUCCGCACACAGUGGAAUGUGGCUAACUCCUCCUAAGGCUUUCGUUCCACUGGCACCACAUUUGCUCAGGCCAAUCUACACCCCAUGGCCAUUCAAAGUUAUUCAAAUCAUGACGCUGCACCCCACGGUUUACGUUCUAGGGGGCGCCAAAGAUAACCCUAAAAUCCACAUAUUUAAAAGUCUUAUAACUUUUUAUUUUUGUCCUCACUGGCCUCCAAGUUUUCUAGGAUGAUGCAAUGUCCAGCCAUCAACACAUUUGUGAAGGAAUUUUUACUCCCCAAAAGAGCGCCCCCCCAUGGCAGGAGAAAAAAGUCCAUUUUUUCUUGUCCCAUAAGGUGAGAAUACACAUUGUUGACUGUCAUACCUGUACGCUUUGUCAUAUUGACACAAAAUUUGAGAAUCACAUGUAUCUCAAUAAGAUCUACGAAAAAGUCAAUGCGCGCGUAUCUGUAAAAUGUACGGUUAAAGGGCUAUUUUGCAUUUUUUGCCGAUUCGCACACAUUGGAAUGUGGCUAACUCCUCCUAAGGCUUUCGUCCCACUGACACCAAAUUUGCUCAGGCCAAUCUACACCCCAUGGCCAUUCAAAGUUGUAAAAAUCAUGACGCUGCACCCCACGGUUUACGUUCUAGGGGGCGCCAAAGAUGACCCA